ACAAACUUGGUCAUUUAGAGGAAGUAAAAGUCGUAACAAGGUUUCCGUAGGUGAACCUGCGGAAGGAUCAUUACUGAAAAACUAUCUUUAGUUCUUCACAUCCCAUUGUUGACCUACCAUGUUGCUUCCACUGGACAGGCUUCACUUUAUGUGAGCCCUUUGGCUUGUUAUUAAUAGUACUUGCCAGGGAGUCGCCAGUGGUAAGACCUUUAUAAUAAAACUUGUUGAAAUGAAAAAUGUCUGAUUAUCUUCUUCCAAAUGAAAUAAAACUUUCAACAACGGAUCUCUAGGCUCUUGCAUCGAUGAAGAACGCAGC
rnacentral:misc_RNA from 1 species